rnacentral:rRNA from 1 species
GGGCAAAUGGGGUAGUCAUACACAGGUUACGUACCCUCAGGUCCGGGAUAGCCACGGGAAACUGUGAGUAAUACCGGGUGACCCCGCAGUUGUUGGUCAACCGCGGGCAAAGGUGAGAUUCCGCCAGAGGAGCGGCUUGUGCGAUAUCAGCUAGCUGGUGAGGUAACGGCUCACCAGGGCUUAGACGUCCAGGGGGUGUGAGAGCAUGGCCCCCACCACCGGAACUGAGACACUGUCCGGAUACCUACGGGUGGCUGCAGUCGAGAAUCUUUGGCAAUGCGCGAAAGCGUGACCAAGCGACGCCGCGUGCGGGAUGAAGGCCUUCGGGUUGUAAACCGCUGUCAGAGGGGAUGAAAUCAUUGGGGGUACUCCCCCUUUGUUGACAGAGCCUCAGAGGAAGCGCGGGCUAAGUUCGUGCCAGCAACCGCGGUAACACGAACUGCGCAAACGUUAUUCGGAAUCACUGGGCUUAAAGGGUGCGUAGGCGGACUGUUAAGUAGGGCGUGAAAUCUGUCGGCUCAACCGGCAGACUGCGUUCUAAACUGGCAGUCUUGAGCGAGUCAGGGGUGUGCGGAACUUCCGGUGGAGCGGUGAAAUGUGUUGAUAUCGGAAGGAACGCCGGUGGCGAAAGCGGCACACUGGGGCUUGUCUGACGCUGAGGCACGAAGGCCAGGGGAGCGAACAGGAUUAGAUACCCUGGUAGUCCUGGCUGUAAACGAUGAAUACUGG